GUUAAUUGACGUGAUCGAGCCAUGGGAGACGCCAACGCUCCACGCGCAAAGGACUUCGCACCACCAUUGAUCCAAUUCCCCAUGCUAAACGCAUCUAACUACACGGUAUGGGCCAUGAGGAUGAAAGUCUUAUUGAAGAUAUACAAGGUAUGGGAUACGAUCGAACCAGGAUCGGAGGAAUCUUAUAAAAACUAUGUCGCAAUAGGACUAUUGUUUCAAGCUAUCCCGGAAGUUCUUAUUUUACAAGUAGGUGAACAAGACUCUCCAAAAAGGAUAUGGGAAGCGAUCAAAGCACGAUAUCUAGGAGCUGAUUGUGUCAAGCAAGCAAGACUUCAAACUCUAAUGUCUAAAUUUGAUAGAAUUAAGAUGGAAGAUUCAGACACGAUAGAUAGUUUUGCGGGAAAGAUAUUGGAGAUAGCAACGACAUCAGCUUCUCUUGGAGAAACAAUUGAGGAAUCCAAACUUGUGAAGAAAAUUUUCAAUAGUUUACCAAGAAGCAAGUUCAUUCAAAUCAUUGUCGUCCUUGAGGAAUUGUUAGAUUUGAACGCAACUAGUUUUGAAGAUAUUGUUGGAAGAUUAAAAGCAUACGAAAAAAGAAUUUUUGAUGAGGAGAAUAACGAAGAAUCUCAAAGCAAGCUUUUAUACGCUAAUACAUAUCAAAAAAAUUAUGGAACAUCACGAGGUCGAGAUCAAAGAUAUAGGGGACGUGGAAGAAGCAGAUUCAACUCACAAGAUAGGACAACAAAUCAAACCGAUCAAAGCCAAGAGAAGAUCAACCGUCGGAUAUGAAACUGUGGGAUAUGAAUUAACAGAUUUGGAUGGUAAAUAAGUGGAAUUGGAGGAGAAGAUAAUGGAGCAACAGUAGUGGUCAUUGACACUCUUGGGAGAGUACGCAUGCAUGGAAAGAUAAUAGAGAGAAAAAUUAACAUCAUACGAUUUUAUUAAGGACCAUGGGUUCAGAUUCUAGUUUCUGGACCAUAGACUUGUCCAUUUCAGAUGGGUUCGUAUCUAUUCCGAAUUUUCCAUCACAUAUUUUUUUUUAAUGAUAUAUUAAUAAAUUAUUUAUAGGACGAUAUGUAUUAUUUCAACAUAAUACCUUUUAACUAAAUUAAUAAAUUAUUUUUAAAAUAAGUUUUCCACAUAGCCAUAUGAAAAGUGAUUUUCAAUUUAUUCGUCUCGACAAUAGAAUUUACAGUUAAUCUGCUCUUCAAAACAUUCCUUGUGCAGUGUCAUCCCGAUAAACUAACUGUCAGCAUUGGACAACGGAGAGAAGAACACACAUGGAAUGGACCACAACCGAAGACCCAUUCUAAGCCUAUCAACUUAAUUAUUGACAUUGUCUUUUUAUAUCAUAUAAGUAAUUUUAUUUAUAUAUUUUUCUCUAUUAUUCGAAUCUCACAAUCACAUUACUCACGUUACAGCGACCAUACAUGUAUUAAGAAACAAAAAG
rnacentral:lncRNA from 1 species